rnacentral:rRNA from 1 species
AUCCAGACUCCUACGGGAGGCAGCAGUGGGGAAUAUUGCACAAUGGGGGAAACCCUGAUGCAGCGACGCCGCGUGAGUGAAGAAGUAUUUCGGUAUGUAAAGCUCUAUCAGCAGGGAAGAUAAUGACGGUACCUGACUAAGAAGCCCCGGCUAACUACGUGCCAGCAGCCGCGGUAAUACGUAGGGGGCAAGCGUUAUCCGGAUUUACUGGGUGUAAAGGGAGCGUAGACGGCUGUGCAAGCCAGAUGUGAAAGCCCGGGGCUCAACCCCGGGACUGCAUUUGGAACUGUGUGGCUGGAGUGUCGGAGAGGCAGGCGGAAUUCCUAGUGUAGCGGUGAAAUGCGUAGAUAUUAGGAGGAACACCAGUGGCGAAGGCGGCCUGCUGGACGAUGACUGACGUUGAGGCUCGAAAGCGUGGGGAGCAAACAGGAUUAGAUACCCGUGUA